GUCUUCAUGGUGUAGUUGGUUAUCACGUGGGUCUCAUAUUUCCAUCUCAAUAUGACUAGGAAGCAUUCAACUUUCUGGAUAUCCCAAGGCCGGGAGUUCGAACCUCCCUGAGGACA